rnacentral:rRNA from 1 species
AACGAACGCUGGCGGCAAGCCUAACACAUGCAAGUCGAACGGACAAUUACCUAUAGCCUUUUUGGUUAUAGGUAGUUGUUAGUGGCAGACGGGUGAGUAAUGCAUAGGAAUCUACCUAGUAGUAUGGAAUAGCCAUUAGAAAUGAUGGGUAAUACUGUAUAAUCCCUGCGGGGGAAAGAUUUAUCGCUAUUAGAUGAGCCUAUGUUAGAUUAGCUAGUUGGUAAGGUAAUGGCUUACCAAGGCUAUGAUCUAUAGCUGGUCUGAGAGGACGAUCAGCCUCUCUGGAAAUGAGAUACGGUCCAGACUCGUACGGGAGGCAGCAGUGGGUAAUAUUGGACAAUGGGCGAAAGCUAGAUCCAGCUAGGUCGCGCGAGUGAAGAAGGCCAUUACGCUGUAAAGCUGAGCAGAUAGUA